UUUUUUGGGUUUAGUAGAGAAUUAGGGUUUCCAAGAGGUGGGGAUUUGAGGGGUAAAAGAGUCGAAAUUGGAGAGGGGAAAACACGGGGGAAAUAGAUUGGAUCAGGUAUUGGGCGAAGAAAGGAGGAGAAAGAAAAGAGAAGGGAUGUGAUGGCGGAGAUGGCUUGCUAUUGGGGAAUGAGAAAAGAGUUUAGAAUGGAGGUAGUGAAUAUAAGAACAAG
rnacentral:misc_RNA from 1 species